UACGUAGGGGGCAAGCGUUGUCCGGAAUCAUUGGGCGGUAAAGAGCGUGUAGGCGGCCUGAUAAGUCGGCUGUGAAAGUCAAGGGCUCAACCCUUGAAUGCCGGCCGAUACUGUCAGGCUAGAGUCCGGAAGAGGCGAGUGGAAUUCCUGGUGUAGCGGUGAAAUGCGCAGAUAUCAGGAGGAACACCUAUGGCGAAGGCAGCUCGCUGGGACGGUACUGACGCUGAGACGCGAAAGCGUGGGGGAGCGAACAGG
rnacentral:rRNA from 1 species